GACGUAGGGCGCGGGCGUUGUCCGGAUUUAUUGGGCGUAAAGAGCUCGUAGGCGGCUUGUCGCGUCGACUGUGAAAUCCCGCGGCUCAACUGCGGGUCUGCAGUCGAUACGGGCAGGCUAGAGUUCGGUAGGGGAGACUGGAAUUCCUGGUGUAGCGGUGAAAUGCGCAGAUAUCAGGAGGAACACCGGUGGCGAAGGCGGGUCUCUGGGCCGAUACUGACGCUGAGGAGCGAAAGCGUGGGGAGCGAACAGG
rnacentral:rRNA from 1 species